rnacentral:rRNA from 1 species
CAGUCGAGAAUUUUUCACAAUGGGGGAAACCCUGAUGGAGCGACGCCGCGUGGGGGAUGAAUGGCUUCGGCCCGUAAACCCCUGUCAUUUGCGAACAAUGCCUGUGUUCUAAUAAAACGCAGGUUGAUAGUAGCGAAAGAGGAAGGGACGGCUAACUCUGUGCCAGCAGCCGCGGUAAUACAGAGGUCCCAAGCGUUGUUCGGAUUCACUGGGCGUAAAGGGUGCGUAGGUGGUCGGGUAAGUCUGGUGUGAAAUCUCCGAGCUCAACUCGGAAAUGGCAUUGGAUACUAUUCGGCUAGAGGAUUGGAGGGGGGACUGGAAUACUUGGUGUAGCAGUGAAAUGCGUAGAUAUCAAGUGGAACACCAGUGGCGAAGGCGAGUCCCUGGACAAUUCCUGACACUGAGGCACGAAAGCUAGGGGAGCAAACAGGAUUAGA